GUGGGGAAUAUUGGACAAUGGGCGAAAGCCUGAUCCAGCCAUGCCGCGUGUGUGAAGAAGGUCUUCGGAUUGUAAAGCACUUUAAGUUGGGAGGAAGGGCAGUAAGUUAAUACCUUGCUGUUUUGACGUUACCGACAGAAUAAGCACCGGCUAACUUCGUGCCAGCAGCCGCGGUAAUACGAAGGGUGCAAGCGUUAAUCGGAAUUACUGGGCGUAAAGCGCGCGUAGGUGGUUUUGUAAGUUGGAGGUGAAAUCCCCGGGCUCAACCUGGGAACUGCGUCCAAAACUGCAUGACUAGAGUACGGUAGAGGGUAGUGGAAUUUCCUGUGUAGCGGUGAAAUGCGUAGAUAUAGGAAGGAACACCAGUGGCGAAGGCGACCACCUGGACUGAUACUGACACUGAGGUGCGAAAGCGUGGGGAGCAAACAGGAUUAGAAACCCUGGUAGUCC
rnacentral:rRNA from 1 species